UAGAGGAUGAAGAAAGAAUUGUCCAAUGCUACAAGAUUAGAAAAACAUGCAAUAUUUAAAAGAAGACAUGAAGAAGGAUACUUCAAAAUUGUGAUAAAGAACCAUUUAUUAGGAAAUUAUGAAAUGAUACAUACUUAUAAAAACAAGCUUCACUUCACAAAAAUUUCUCAAAUACAAAACUCCGAAACACGCACCGCCAACUAAUCACACAAGCAGUAUACCGCAAUCAAUGCUCAGAUUCAGCGACGAUCUUUCAGCAAUUAACGAGCCAGCCGCUGCAGUAAAAACGUUCCUAGGCCCGGUUGUACAAUCGAAGUUUAACUCUGGCUCAGCGCCAUUACCGAGUUCAGGGCAAGAAGUGCGUUGUACAUACAAAGUUUAAUUCUUGAACUCGGGGUCGAUAUUCGACGGUUCAACGCUGGUUCAAGGAUUUUUAACCUCACAUUUUGGUCAUUGUCAAACUUUUGUCAAAGGAAAUCAUAAUAUUUACACCUUAAAAAUGAACAUCAACAUCAUUGAAAAUGAAAAACUGAAGAUUUUCUGGAAAUGAUAAAUAUUGUAGAAGGGAGGAGAACACAGAAACAGUGUAGGGCUAGAGAAGAUCAUUUUGAAAAAUGGAAUGAUAAUGAAUAAUGAAUUUUUGCAAAGAUUCUGGAUAUCUAAAGAUGCUGUUCACUAUUUGCAUGAAACUAUUGCUCGUAAAAUAAAAAGUCGAACAGAUAGGUAAGAACGAAAACAGAUGGCAAAUUUGUUAUUAAUCGAUAUUACUAACAUUUCAAGAAACAAGCUGUAUUUUCCAAGAACAUAGUUUUUAUUGCCUUGUGCAGUGAUAGGUGCAUAAACUCCCUAAGUUUUGUGCAGUGAUAUAGAUCCAUAGUUAUAGUUAUAACUGGUUUUAAGUAUAUAACAGGUUCCUUUUUGCAACUUGUGGGUGAUUGUGAAGCAAAUGUAGAAAAUGAUUUUGCUAAUUUAUUAAUAAAUCUAAAAUUAAUUAUAUUUGUACCAUGUUUAUAUA